rnacentral:rRNA from 1 species
GGCCUGGGGGAUGGGGAUCGCUACCGGACGCUGAUACUACUUCCGUCUGACCUCACAAAACCGGGGACCUUCAGGCCUUGCCCUCUCACAUGAGCCUGUGCCCGAUUAGCUAUUUGGUGAGGUAGUGGCUCAGCCUCGCCACGAUCCCUAUCUGGUCUGAGACGAAGAUCAUGCCCACUGGAACUGAAACUCAGACCAGACUCCUACUCGAGGCAGAAGUGGGGAAUAUUGAACAUGGGGCGAAAGCCUGAUCCAGCCAUGCCCCGUGUGUGAAGAAGGUCAUCGGAUUGUAAAUGACUUUAACUUUCGAGGAAGAGCAAUUACCUAAUGCUUGUUUGUUUUGACGUUACCGACAGAAUAAGAACAGGCUAACUCUGUGCCCGUGCCCGCGGUAAUACAAAGGGUGCAAGCGUUAAUCGGAAUUACUGGGCGUAAAGCGCGCGUAAGUGGUUAGUUUUGUUGGAUGUGAAAUCCCCUCGCUCAGCUUGGCAUGUGCAUUGCAUACUGACUGACUAGACUAUGGUCUAGUGUGGUGGAAUUUAAUGCGUAGCGUAGCAAUGAAUAGAUAUAGAGAUCGAGACCAGUGCCGAGGGCGACCACCUGCCCCUGAUACUGACCCGGCGCUGCGAUGCCAUGGCGAGCAGAGCGGACUAGAUACCCUGCCCUGCCACGCCGUACUCUAUGUCAUGUCGACUUUGAGAUCGUUGACCUGAUACUGGCGCACCUAACCCAAUAAGUUGACCCCCAUGGCCAGUAGAGCCCCACCGCU